rnacentral:tRNA from 1 species
GGGGGCGUAGCUCAGUUGGCAGAGCAACUGGUUUGCAUCCAGUAGGCCGGCGGUUCGAGUCCGCUCGCCUCCA